rnacentral:rRNA from 1 species
AUACGUAGGGGACAAGCGUUGUCCGGAUUUACUGGGCGUAAAGGGCACGCAGGCGGUUUUUUAAGUCAGAUGUGAAAGGUACCGGCUCAACCGGUGACAUGCAUUUGAAACUGUAAGUCUUGAGUGGUGAAGAGGUAAGCGGAAUUCCUAGUGUAGCGGUGAAAUGCGUAGAUAUUAGGAGGAACACCAGUGGCGAAGGCGGCUUACUGGGCACUAACUGACGCUGAGGCACGAAAGCAUGGGGAGC